rnacentral:rRNA from 1 species
GAUGAACGCUGGCGGCGUGCCUAAUACAUGCAAGUCGAGCGAACUGAUUAGAAGCUUGCUUCUAUGACGUUAGCGGCGGACGGGUGAGUAACACGUGGGCAACCUGCCUGUAAGACUGGGAUAACUUCGGGAAACCGAAGCUAAUACCGGAUAGGAUCUUCUCCUUCAUGGGAGAUGAUUGAAAGAUGGUUUCGGCUAUCACUUGCAGAUGGGCCCGCGGUGCAUUAGCUAGUUGGUGAGGUAACGGCUCACCAAGGCAACGAUGCAUAGCCGACCUGAGAGGGUGAUCGGCCACACUGGGACUGAGACACGGCCCAGACUCCUACGGGAGGCAGCAGUAGGGAAUCUUCCGCAAUGGACGAAAGUCUGACGGAGCAACGCCGCGUGAGUGAUGAAGGCUUUCGGGUCGUAAAACUCUGUUGUUAGGGAAGAACAAGUACAAGAGUAACUGCUCGUACCUUGACGGUACCUAACCAGAAAGCCACGGCUAACUACGUGCCAGCAGCCGCCGUAACAC